CAACUCUAACGUCUGAUGCCAUUUCUAACGAAUGUCAUAUUUAAAUAAGUCAAAUCCGAUAAUCCGCAGUGGGCGCGUAUUGUUUGAAAAAUCAAAAUCGUUUUUUACAUAUUUUCUAAAUAAUAUUGAGUGCGUUUUAAAAGUGUUAGAACCAUAAAUUGUGAAAAAAAUCGCGUUCUAAAAUUGGAAAGGACGAAGAAAAAAGAUACAGUCUUAAUAGGCAAAGUUUUGCUGCUGGCAAAUUCUUUGUUGAAUACAGAAGAAAUGCAUUUGAGCACGAAGCAGAUGAAGUAGAUUCCGGACAUUUUUUCGUUUGACAAAAGCGCAGUUGCGGCAUAUUUGAUAUAUCAUCAAUCCGUUGGAUCACUAAAAAUAUUAAAGUAAGAUUUAAGAUUUUGUUUAAAUUUUAUACAAUAUUUGCUAUAAUUACCCAGAAAAUGAUUUUGCAUGCUGAGACGUUAGUUCAUCCUCUUGGUUCCCUAAAGCUUUCUUGACAUACUGCAAAUAAAAAUGAGACGGAAAAUAUUUAAGGAAACAAAUCGAAAUUUCUAAUUUUAUUGACGGCAAAUUCAUUAUUUAACAAACUUACCAUUGGGUUGAGUAAAAUGUCCUCUUCCAUUUUGUUAAUUUGCCUUAUUAAGUCCAUCGUUUGUGCCAUAUCUUUCUGAAUUUUAAGGAACAUUUCGGGAGAAUUAUAUUUUUCAGGAUCAUCUUUAAAAACAACCAUGCCAUCCUUUUUAUUUAUAGUUGCAUAAAUUUCGCCAGAUUUUAUCUUAGGAAAGAAACAACAAACAUUUCAUAGAAGAUGUGUUACUAUGUUCAAUGUGCAAAAAAACCAACCAUAUUGAAAAUAUAUUUUUCCGCUUCGGCCGCAUCUGCCAGCUGAGCUCUACUAGCGACAUCCGAAAGAGAGAGCGUCAGAAACGUUUUGGUUAACCGCUGUAUGUUUUUCUUAUAAAGCGAAGUUACAACCUGCAACACAUUUCAACUUCUAAAUAUGUAUAAAUAUGUAAUUAGUCGUUAUCUAAUACCUGUUUUACUAAACCCAUAUUUUUAUCCCGAAUAAAAGUUUCGCUAGAUUUAUUCAUAAUAAUUCGUAGUUCGUCGCUGGAUGAUGUCACGUAAGCAGUUGCCAAGUCAUGAUAAGACUGCGCGAGAGGCUUCAUAAAUCGCGAAAUCACUGGCGCAGACGAUUUCGGUAUUGGUAAAACCUAAAUAACAAAACAUAAAUUAUAUUUAAAAAAUAGUUAAUUACGAACGUUAUGGAAGCGUCUACCUUUCCGUGUAGAAUUAGUGAAACCAGCACGAAUUUUUUAUAGGCUUCUAACAUUAUGUGUGACAUGGCCGCAGCGGGAGUGGAUAUACACACUUCGAAGAAAUACAAGGCCCGAUCGAAGUUUUUAACCGCAGUAUAUAUCAUACCACCAUAGUAAUAGUAGAGAAGAAAAUAUUUGGCAUCAUUAUUGGUAUCCUAAUAGCAAAUUAGAAAUUAAUGUUGAUAAAUGCAAUGUAUUCAUAAAAUAAAAUGAUAAUUUAAUUGACUAUUA